GGCAAUCAUUAUGCUGUCAUUUGGAUUAGUGUUCGAUUUUAGGGUUAGUUUUAUCAUUGACUAACUGGAUUGCUAUAUAAUGUUCUACAGGAAAUUCAGGUUUCCCAAGAGAAGACCAUCGCCACUGUAUGUACCUCUCCGAGACAAAGUGAAGGAAAAGACGCCUAUACCUCAACGAAGCAAAGUGAAGGAAAAGACACCUUUACCUCAACAAGACAAAGUGAAGGUAAUGACACCUGUACCUCAACGAAGCAAAGUGAAGGAAAAGACGCCUGUACCUCAACGAAGCAAAGUGAAGGAAAAGACGCCUGUACCUCAACAAAGCAAAGUGAAUGAAAAGACACCUUUACCUCAACGAGGCAAAGUGAACAAAAGGACGCUUCCACCUAAACGGUUCAGUGUGAAAAUAAAGAUCAUUGGAACUCUCCUCC
rnacentral:lncRNA from 1 species